GUUUUUUUUACUUUAGUUUCCUUUUCAAGAACUAAAAUGCAUGCUCAAUACGAGUAUGUUUUCAUUUCUUCAUCCUGAUGAACUCUUUGGUUAAAUUGAUUAUUGUCUUGGUGCAGAGUGAGAUGCUGCCCAAUCAGUUGGGCAGACCAUAUGUUUUUGUACAUUUCAGCAUCCUUUCAGGGUGUUUCCGACCUCUUAGGAUGCUCCGAAUCAGAGCAGUCCCUCGGGAGGGCACCAGAAGCCGAGCUGAUUCAAGGCACAUGCCUUCGGGGAGGUCUACCAGGCCAGGAUUGUGCUAGUCUGGAAAGGAAAGGAAAGGGCCUGGAAAUGGACAGAACUGGAUUCCCAGGCGUCCUCAGGACCAGGCCAAUGGAGAAAUCUGUUGAUGUCAGGUCCCCCCUUCAGACCCAUCCUCCGAUCCCCUCUCAGCUACUGGAAUCCUCUGAGCAAGGAUACCCUGAAGUCUGAUUGGCAGCCAAGGAACCUGUUAUGGAAGUGCCUAAAGCAAAUGUUGAGGUCUUGCUGAGCUGCUGUCACAUACAGUUCUUGUCAGGAAAGCCUUUCAAACACAUGACCAGUAGCACACAUUCUCAAUAUGAAUCCUGAAAUGUACAAAGCAUGACUGGUCAUUUUCACAGCAAUCCCUGAGAGAUUUGGUAGUUUGUACUCUGCAACCUCAUUAAUGACACA
rnacentral:lncRNA from 1 species